rnacentral:lncRNA from 1 species
GUGGCAUGGUUUUAAUGUUGACCCAAACUGAAUUGGUUACAGUAAAUAGGAAAAACAUUUUAAUAUAAAGACUGCAUAGACAAAGAUGAUAAAGACAAUUUCAGGCAUAUAGAAAAAGCAGACAAGGAAACUGAAAUCAAGCAAUUUCUACUUGGGUCUGGUAGAUGACUGAUUUCACACGCUUUUCAGCAUAGGAAUGUGGAUGUUCAUGAAAACUUGAUCAAGAGCCAUAUCCCCAAAGCAUUUGCAUAUCUGAAAUAGAGUUUACAAAGAUUUUAAAGGCCUACAUCCAAGACUGUCAUCCAAAACUUCAUUUGUUCAGACAGACUUAAGCCUGAAAACAUCACUGAACUUCAGCAGUUGUUUGUGGCAAGAAAAAAAAAAAAAAGAAGUUAACUGUGAGAAGCUGACCUAGUCGUAGUCAGCUAUAGGAAAUGGCGUAAUGCACCUCCUUCUGCUGCCAACAAGGCUGAAGUCACGACAGUCCCUUGAGUACGUCCAUGCCUGCCACUCAUAACACAGCAUGGCUCAUAAUUACCUGCAUGGUAGAAAAGUAUUACAUAGUAUAUUGCUUAUUGUUGUGAAGAACUGCAGAAAAUGAUGAGAGAGGCCUUCAAGAGAGCCAGAACUUUGAUAAUGAUGGCUUUUAACUACUCCAUUAUUGACUGCAAUAAGUAUGGUAAAACUAAGGAAGGAAUACUCACGUCUCUAAAGGUAAUGUAAGAUUGCCUCCAGUUUCUUGUGCACUUUAUUGAAUUGUCUUUCAGAAACUAUUUGAAUUAAUUCAAGGAUUUGAGCCAAGGGUAAUAAAGGGUGUUGAACUUGAGAGGUAUGAAAGAUC